rnacentral:rRNA from 1 species
UACGUAGGGGGGCAAGCGUUGUCCGGAUUUAUUGGGCGUAAAGAGCGUGUAGGCGGCCGCACAGGUCCGUUGUGAAAACUGGAGGCUCAACCUUCAGACGUCGAUGGAAACCGUGCGGCUAGAGUCCGGAAGAGGAGAGUGGAAUUCCUGGUGUAGCGGUGAAAUGCGCAGAUAUCAGGAGGAACACCAAUAGCGAAGGCAGCUCGCUGGGACGGUACUGACGCUAAGGUGCGAAAGCGUGGGGAGCGAACAGG